UGGGAACUAGAAUGCUCACGUUCCUGAAGUAAAAUCUUCUCCCGGUGGCUUCAAACAGCUUGGAGUGCCAAUGAACGAUACGUAGGAAGCGGGUGUUCUCCUCCUGUUGCUGCAUCUCUUGGCCUGGGUGGGGCUGAUGUGGAUACAGAUGCUAACCAGCAUUGUGAGGAACAGCAAGGAAUCCAAAGCACCCCCAGCAGCAGAGAGCACGGGAAGAUAAUUCAUGAUUUUCUGCACCAGAAAGCACCCCGGAACGCCCAAGACACUUAGCCUGUACAGAGGACGGAGUGCGAGAAGCAGAGUUGCUGGGGACGCAAGGAGGAAGCACAUAUGCUGAAAAUGAAGAAGAAAAGACAGUCCUGCGAGUGCACAGAGGUGGCCUGCUCAGGGCUCAGAGAAUGGAGGAUAGCUAAGCUCCUUGGAUUUGUUCUGUUUGCUUUGACCGAGCACAUCCUGAGAGCUACUGUGCUGUGCACAGAGAACCGUUCUCGAACGACAGUCUUCUCGCUUUCUUUAUCUUAUAUUUUUAAGCCCUCAGUCACAAACUUUUAAGGUUUGGUAUAUUGUUAUAUUUGAUGUUAACUUUGUCAUUAAUAAGCACACUAUACUUAGAGAAGAGAGAACUCAAAAUAAAUGUAGUAAACAUUUCUUAUUAACAUCAAA
rnacentral:sRNA from 1 species